CAGACAGGGGUUGCGAAGCGGAAAUACCACCACUCUCCAGCCCAACUUGUGAGGACUGAUUGCAGGGGGACUGGUGCUCCAGAUGUUGCACUAGAGGCGCUGCAAGUGUGAGCAGGUGGCAGUGGAUUUACAUCACAGGUUGUAGCAGAUGUUCUCAACGUUUCUAUUGAAGUUUCCUCAUCAUCACUUACAGGAGGAGCUCCAGAACCUCACUGCUGUGGUAACCACAAUGAUCUGAUAUAAGCUGUUGUUCACCAGGGAACUUUGGCAAGAGAAUUGGCUAGAUCAGCAAGUCCAUUUCCAUUGUGGAAAACAAGUUGAAACUCAUCUCUACUAAUGUGUAUAAACAAAUCCUAAGGUCACAGACUGAUCGGAUUGAUACUCACUGAAGUCAGAUGAAAGUCCUAACUGUAAGGAGAGGAUCGUUAUAUUACAGGAGGUCCACAUAUGCUCUGGUGUUAUAAUCAAUUUAAAGUUGGAAAAAGACCCUUCUUGAAA